GCCUUCGUCGUGUAAUUGGAAGCAUAUUCGACACGUAUUCGAAAGAUCAGGGUUCGAGUCCCGUCGAGGGCA
rnacentral:tRNA from 1 species